rnacentral:rRNA from 1 species
UGCAGUCGAGCGAUGACGAGGAGCUUGCUCCUCUGAUUUAGCGGCGGACGGGUGAGUAACACGUGGGCAACCUGCCCUGCAGACUGGGAUAACUUCGGGAAACCGGAGCUAAUACCGGAUAAUCCAUUUUACUUCAUGGUGAAAUGUUGAAAGGCGCUUUCGCGCCACUGCAGGAUGGGCCCGCGGUGCAUUAGCUAGUUGGUGGGGUAACGGCCUACCAAGGCGACGAUGCAUAGCCGACCUGAGAGGGUGAUCGGCCACAUUGGGACUGAGACACGGCCCAAACUCCUACGGGAGGCAGCAGUAGGGAAUCUUCCACAAUGGACGAAAGUCUGAUGGAGCAACGCCGCGUGAGUGAUGAAGGUUUUCGGAUCGUAAAACUCUGUUGUAAGGGAAGAACAAGUACGUUAGGAAAUGAACGUACCUUGACGGUACCUUAUUAGAAAGCCACGGCUAACUACGUGCCAGCAGCCGCGGUAAUACGUAGGUGGCAAGCGUUGUCCGGAUUUAUUGGGCGUAAAGCGCGCGCAGGUGGUUUCUUAAGUCUGAUGUGAAAUCUCGCGGCUCAACCGCGAGCGGUCAUUGGAAACUGGGGAACUUGAGUGCAGAAGAGGAUAGUGGAAUUCCAAGUGUAGCGGUGAAAUGCGUAGAGAUUUGGAGGAACACCAGUGGCGAAGGCGACUGUCUGGUCUGUAACUGAC